GAAGAGAGGAUAAGCCUUUGGCUUUUUAGUGUCCAAGGGACAGAACCAUGUGGUAUUUGUCUCAGAUCCUCACUGUAAGCUCAGAGUCUGAUAAAGAGCAGCUGUUGAAUAGGAAUUCAUUGAAUGACAGUAGCCAGGGUGGAUAAAAUUUGGAGAAGUGUUUUUAUAGUUGUUUAAGGUGGGACAAAUUUAAAGAUGUGAUUUAUAGAAGAGGAGUAAAUGGAGAGGAAGAGGUUAAGGACAUUAAGGAUGAAGGGGAAAGGGGAGUGUUUGCUGCCAAGGACCCAUAGGAAAUGGGAGGCAAUGGCAUCUACAAAGCCACUGGAAGGUUGCUUUCUCCCACUUUCUUACUUGCAUCUGAUGCUCUUCCCAUUUCACAGGGAAAACAGAAAUGACUAGAAGAGCCCUUGCUCAGACCCACAUCCCCGAGUCUCUCAAUGGUCAGCACCAGUGCUCACAUUUCUGUGUCCUCCUAUUCCUAAGGAUGAACUGGCUGUCAUCCUAUUAAGGUCACCUCUCCACAGGCACGCGGGUAUCAUUCCCUCUCCCCUUCACAGAGACUUCACUCCAGUACUUCUUGCCUCCUCUUCUGCUUCAUCAGUUUUCCUCUUCAAUGGUAUCAUUGCCAUCAGCAUACACACAUGCUUUUAAUUCUCUUAACGGGGCAAAAAGACAAAAACUAAACCUCUGCCUAAUUCUCACCCAGUUUUCUGUUUCUCCUCACUGCGAAACUCCUGGAGACAUUUUCCUUCACUCUCUCCAAUAAUGUAUUUAUGAAUUUUAUUUGUUUGUUUACCUAGAUUUUUUAAUCAGGAUGCUGAAAUGUGAAAGUCAUCCUAUAUGUUCCAGCUGACAGUUUACAAUGUGACGGAAAGGCAAGGAUAAACAUGAUUACUCUUCUUGAAAAUUCACUUCGUUUAGAAGGAGAGAACCACGAACACCUGCUCUCUGUUUAUCCAGAAUUCUGAAGGGAACUCAGUUUACCAAAGCAGCAUGGUGCACUCGGUCUGUUUGGGCCAGAGGCUCACUCUAAGAGCUAGGACACGUCAAGCUGCGAUGGGAACAGCCUCAGGCAGGGUUGACCAAGCAGAGUGCAGCCUCCCUGGGUCCUCUGCUGGUGUUGAGUUUCCUUGCUCUAUAACCAGACCCAUCAGGAUGGAGAUCACGUGCUGGGCCCCUCUGCCUACAGAGAGAACAGUGUCAGCCAGAGGAUCUCACUGAGUAAAUCACGUGACGCAGAGAGCGGUGGGAGGGCAGUAAACAUGUCUACGGAAAUGGCUGACAAGUACUGAAAGGAAUAUUCCUGCCCGUGUCUAUGUUCUCCCCUGUAUUCAGAGGCUGGAAGUCUGAAAACUGCGUUUCCGGGCUUACCAGCAGGAUAGUAACUGCGAUUCCACCGCUGAGUGGUGCGACUCGGGCCCUGGAAGCAGGAGGAUCCACAGCAGCCUUCUUGUUCUGUCAGUAGCAGGCAGGUAUGUGAGCUCCAACAGCCAAGGACAGGAAGCCGCAGCCUUCGAGGAUGUGCCAGCGAAUCCCUGCGUCGGUCCUGCAGGGGGCUCAGGCCACCGCCAUCUGUUCUUCCACUUCC
ensembl:lncRNA